UACGAAGGGUGCAAGCGUUACUCGGAAUUACUGGGCGUAAAGCGCACGUAGGCGGAUUGUUAAGUCAGGGGUGAAAUCCUGGAGCUCAACUCCAGAACUGCCUUUGAUACUGGCGAUCUCGAGUCCGGGAGAGGUGAGUGGAACUGCGAGUGUAGAGGUGAAAUUCGUAGAUAUUCGCAAGAACACCAGUGGCGAAGGCGGCUCACUGGCCCGGUACUGACGCUGAGGUGCGAAAGCGUGGGGAGCAAACAGG
rnacentral:rRNA from 1 species